rnacentral:lncRNA from 1 species
AAAAACAUAGUUGGUAAGUUGUGUUUGUAUCAUUCAGUUGGAAGAUACUAACAAGGUAAUCGAUUUUGUUUUAAAAUUUAACAGCAAAAAAUAAAAUAAAACAUGAAUCAUUAUACCGGAAAAUACUAUUGCUAUGUCAACAUCCUGUGUUGAGACGAGUCUUAAUUAUAAAGAAACUUUUAGUAAAUUCAGGAAAAAAGACCUGAAUUGAUAAUCAUUGCUGUUUUUCUUAUACUUGUAAACAUGAUCUAAAGACAAUCGAGUGCCUUUAUGACGUGAUAUCUAGCUCGAGUAUAAAUUUUGUUUUAUGACCUUACAUGAUUGUAUUUGAAGGAGAUCAUAAGAUGACAUUGAUAAGGAAAUACAGCGACCUAUAGUUGUUAAUUUGUGUUUCAUUUUGGUCUCUUUGAGAUUUGUAUCAUUGAAAAUUAUACCACAUCUUCUUUUUUUACGCAUUAUUUUUGUCUCUUGGCUUUUUUGUUUUUGUUGUUGACUGCUAUCUCAUGAAACUGCAUGCGAACUGUACUUAGAUAAGUUAAAUCAUAUUAUUACAUCAUGGAAUACAGGUACGUACGUAGAUAUUGCAAAACAAAGAAAAUGUUUUGUUGUUUUAGUUUGUAUAUUGUAGAUGAAAGUCACAUGUAUUUUGUUGCUUUCUUUGGUCCUUGUCUGCCUUUUUGAGGAUUGCGAAGCAUGGAGGCGUAGAAGAUUUCGAAUUCGAAUUCGAGGAAGGAAGUUUUUUCGGAAAGUUGUAGUUCCUUAUUUGAUUAAGACCCACGGUAAGAGAGAUGCUCUUCUUAGCAACCCAAAUUUAUUCGUUGCUAAGGAAGUAUACGAUCGCUACAAAGCGCAGAAAAUGCAAGCAGAAUUAUCUGGACACCACACAUGUGUAGCUGAUGAUGUAUGCGGGAUGUCAUGUAUCAAAAACGAAUGUACUUGGUACUGUGACAACAUUUGUAACAUAAUGGCCGAUGACAAGGUGAGACUUAGUUAUAAGAAAAGCACACGCAUUUUUUGUUUUUAAGGAAACAAGUUUAUUUUAUUCAACACUGAUGAAUGAAACGCUUUUUUAAUUUUGUCACGAAUCGGGGAAACUUUUGAAUCCAAAAAACAUUAAUAGGUUUGAGAAUUAAAUAAGAGAGCCGAAAGAUACCAACAUGAUAUUCAAACUCAUAAGUCAAGACAAACAUACACCGUCAUGAUAAAAGUAAAAAAAAAGGAACACACAACAUAUAAAAACUAAGAGUCCCAAGAAAAACAAUCCACACCAAAACAUGUGAAAGAUCUCAGUAAAUGCAUCGAUCAGAGUCUGAAGCAGACAUCCUUACACAUUGUGUAACAUAAAUAAGGAUAAAAUAUAUUUUUUUUUAUAAUAAACAUUCCUAUAAAAAUAAAGAAUCAGAUAAUAAUUGAUAUCCGUUUACAAUAGGAAAUAGAAAAUGAAUAUGUUAUAAUCAUGAUAAUGUCUUGAUAUUUGAAUAUUGUUUUUACAAUUUCACCUUUCAAACCAAGAUGAUAAAAAAUUACACUAACAUGCAUAUUUUCUAUAUACAUUUACAGUUUAACUGGCGAGGGGAAUUGGUUGCAUUACCAUGCAAAUUUUCAGCAUACGACUAUACUGGUGCUGGAUACUUUUAUCCGGCAGAUCUGGCCUUCCAUGUCAAUGGGCAUGGCAGAGAAAGCGACAAUAUGAUGGUUUUUAAACGUUUAGAUCAAAAUGGUGAGUGUAUAAUAUUCAAAUAUUGGAGACAAAGUAUAUUUAUGUAACAGAAAUUAUUUCAAGAACUAGAUAUACUAUUUAUGAUUCCGAUGGGUUAACAUUCCCUCGAACAGCAACAUUGCUGUAAAACAAGAUAAUUUAUUAUCCAACUCAAAUUCGGGCAUUACAAAUAGAUUGUGCUAAGAACUUUGAAUAGGAGAACUGUAAUGAUUUCCCAAACUGUCCAUGUCGAAAAAGCUAUGUUCCUUUAAUUUUACAAUUCUUCAAGUAGCAAAGCAACCAUGCAAUUUGAGCAACGGAGGAAUUCCAUGAUACUAAAUAAGUCUUUCCUAUUCCAUGUAUUCAAUAUCAUUACACAAAAAAACAGUAAAUAACAAAAAUACCGAGCUCCAUAGGAAAUUCAAAACUCUCUGUGUGUUACGUUUUUGAUAUGCCUCCUUUUCAGUUAUCAAUUAUUUGUCAUUAAAGGUGAUGGCAGGGUAUCAGAAAUUGAGUUUGGUAAUACAAAGAAACAUCUUCUAAUUGACCAAGAAACCUGUUAAAGAUUUGAUGUGAGUUAUUAUUUAAUACUAUUUUACUUUGAAGUUAUGACAUGCAUUUACUUUUAAUAGAUUAUCAUUAGAAACAAGUAAUCAUAAAGUUUUAUCAAAGAUAUUUAGAAGAAUUGUAAUCUUAGAUAUCUGUCAUUUCAAAAAGUUUCAAUUUGAAUUCCUGUAAAAAAUAUUAUAUUAUAAUCUUAAAUUCUUAUUUAUGAUAUAAAAAUGUGAAUUUUUAGAUUAACAGUGAAUACUGUCAUAUGUGUAAAAAAAAAAAAAAAACAUACUUUCAAACAAAAUAAUCAAUGUCAAAAUGAUUGUUUCGAUUACAUGGAAAUUUAAGUUUUCAAGUUAGUUGAUCAAAUUUACAUGCGAUUAUUUGACAUCCUAUUUUAUGAUAUUUGCGUGUGUUUAUUUUUCGCGAUAGUUAUUAAAACUGUUUUCUAAUUUACAGGUAAUUGGAAAAGAACAACGCCAGAUACACCUAAAAUACGUUUGACAGUUGAUAAAAGUGUUAUUCUUAUUUUUCACGUUAAUCAUAUAUUAUAGUUAGCUGGAAAAUGUUUUUUGCAAAAUAAAUUAUGCAUCAUUCAGAAGUUCGGUUGGUGUUCGUUUGUUUUGUUG